rnacentral:rRNA from 1 species
UACGAAAGGUGCAAGCGUUACUCGGAAUCACUGGGCGUAAAGCGCACGUAGGCGGACUUACAGGUCAAUUGUGAAAUACCUGGGCUCAACCCAGGAACUGCAGUUGAAACCGUUUGUCUUGAAUAUCUGAGAGGGUGGGGGAAUACCUGGUGGAGAAGUGAAAUUCGUAGAGAUCAGGUGGAACACCCGUGGCGAAAGCGGCGCGCUGGACCACUACUGACGCUGAGGAACGAAAGCUAGGGGAGCAAACAGG